AACGCGAAGAACCUUACCUGGGUUUGACAUGCACAGGACGCCGGCAGAGAUGUCGGUUCCCUUGUGGCCUGUGUGCAGGUGGUGCAUGGCUGUCGUCAGCUCGUGUCGUGAGAUGUUGGGUUAAGUCCCGCAACGAGCGCAACCCUUGUCUCAUGUUGCCAGCACGUAAUGGUGGGGACUCGUGAGAGACUGCCGGGGUCAACUCGGAGGAAGGUGGGGAUGACGUCAAGUCAUCAUGCCCCUUAUGUCCAGGGCUUCACACAUGCUACAAUGGCCGGUACAAAGGGCUGCGAUGCCGCAAGGUUAAGCGAAUCCUUUUAAAGCCGGUCUCAGUUCGGAUCGGGGUCUGCAACUCGACCCCGUGAAGUCGGAGUCGCUAGUAAUCGCAGAUCAGCAACGCUGCGGUGAAUACGUUCCCGGGCCUUGUA
rnacentral:rRNA from 1 species